rnacentral:lncRNA from 1 species
AUACUCAAUAAUUAAUACAUUAACUAAAAAUUAAAGGUCAGAGAUAGAACGAUAACACCAAAUUUUGAAAGUAUCCAAAAGUUGCGACUUUGGAAAACUUUUACUUGUAUUUAUAAUCGUAAAAUUAAAAUAUAAAAUUGAACAUUUUAGGAGAUAAUUAAAAUAUUUGAGAGAGUUUGAGAUUUGAGAGAAUGAGAAUUGUGUGAAAAAUAUCAGUGCUAAUGGAACUGGCCAUGUUACUCGAAGCCUCAAUUGGCCAGUAUCCAACGGUAAUUUGGGGAAGUUCACCUAAAGUUGAAUUUUGGUGAUGCAUUCUAUGUUGAACUGGAAAUUCGCCUCCCAAUUCUUCAAUACGAAUGACUUAUUAUGGUAUGUGUAUGGUCCUGACUGCAUGACCUCAUCCAUGUCCUCAACAGAAUCGAAUCUAAACAAAUAGUAUCCAUCCGAGAGAUAAGAGUAUUUGAGGCUUCUUCACAAAAUUCUACAUAGUUGUGACAAAUUGAUGUUGAUCCAUCGAUUUCUCAAGUAUCUCCUAGCACAUACCCUAUUGAGUGUCAUUGACCAGUGCAUAUCAGAAACCCUGAUGUCUUCCUCGGAAAUUUUAACAACCUUACCAUCACGAUGAUCUAUGGGAGCAUAUUCCAACAUUAAUCCCAUCUGCGAGCUUCAAUUCUACUUUGGCAACUUCCGCAAUGGAGGUUCAGUGGGUACCUUUUGGGAAGGCUGCUCCGAAAAUUUGGACUUGUCGUGGUAGCAUCGUCGUCAUAACCUCGACCUUUUUACUUACCAAUUGUGAAGUCUAGUGAGAAAAUUCUCAAAGGUCGGAAGGAGAGUAUGUUAUUCCCGUUGCCGGAGUUACCAUCAUGGUCGCCUGAACUACAUUGUUCCGCCGUCUUGCCAUGGUCGGUGCACUUUAGCGUACCUCAGCUAAAAGUACACCGAGAGAGAAGUUAGCCCAACAUGUGUCCUCCUUUCUAAUUAUAACUA